rnacentral:rRNA from 1 species
CUCUUCUUGUUUAAUAUUUUUGAAGUAUAGCCUGCCCACUGAAAUAAUUUGAAGGGCCGCGGUAUUUUGACCGUGCAAAGGUAGCAUAAUCAUUAGUCUUUUAAUUGGAGACUAGAAUGAAUGGUUGGACGAGGAAUAUACUGUUUCUUAAUAAUACUAUUGAAUUUAAAUUUUAGGUUAAAAUGCUUAAAUUUUUUUAUGGGACGAGAAGACCCUAUAGAGUUUAAUAAAUAUUUAUUGUUAUUUAUGUUUGUAGAAUUAUUUAUUUUAUUAUUUAUUUUGUUGGGGUGAUGGAAAUGAAUUAAUAAACUCUUUCUUUUCUUUAUAUAUUUAUGUAUAAUUUUAUGAUCCAUUCUUUUUGAUUAUAAGACUAAAUUACCUUAGGGAUAACAGCGUAAUCUUUUUUGAGAGUUCUUAUCAAUAAAAGGGUUUGCGACCUCGAUGUUGGAUUAAGAUUUAAUUUGGGUGUAGCAUUUCAUUUGUUUAGGUCUGUUCGACCUUUAAAAUCUUACA